AAGAAAGGAGUUCAAUCCCCAUAGCUUUUCAGUGCCAUUUCUCAGGUCCCAACAGGUUCACUGAUUUGCCAAGAAGAAGCACCAAUGGGUCAGAGGCUGAGCGUGAACGGAAUUCAUUCUCCCGAUGCCAGGGUCCCUCCCUCACCUCCCACUGCUCAGUAGACAGGUCUCUCUGCAGAAGGGAAAAGGGAGGGUUGAGGGUUUAGAGGGUUUAGACAGUGAAAAGGCAGGAAGAGUAAUCAUGACAGAAGAGAUUUACUGCAGCCUUCUUCUCCUUUCUUUUUGCAUUAAGGACAAGCGUCGCCUGCACACGUCAGCACAAAUGGGAACAUGAUGAGGUACCACUUUUUCCAAGGCUGUGACCAGCUCCUCAGGGCAGCAGGCGAAGCUGUCCCUCUGAGUUAGCCUUUGAAGUUUUCCUCAAAUCUCUUGCUGCAGGGAAGCCAAGCCAGUCAACCCUAGGCUUCCACUGGGAGCUAUAUUCCUUCCUUCCUUCAUUCAUUCCCCAAAUAUUUUUCAAGGGUCCACCAUGUGCCAGGCAUUGUGCUAAAAGUGUUUUGUGUAGGUUCAAGUGAGGCCUGCGGGGUGACCAGCUAUCCCAGUUUCCCUGGCAUGAGAGACUUUCUGUGUGCAAACUAAGACAGCUGGUCGCCCUACUUUGGGCGUGAGCUUAGCAUGCAGUGUAACUUUCUGUACAGAGUGUAAUUCUUAAGAAUCACGCCAAGAUCACCUUCCUUGCUAAAAUGAACAUUCUCAGGCUCCACUCCAUACCAGUGAUUCCAAAUCCUCUGAGGCUGGAAACCUAUGUUGAAUCAGUUCCCCUAAGCUAUUAUUAUGCGUAUUUAAGUUUGAGAACAGCUGAACUAGUGCUUAAGGGUACGAACUUUAAAGCCACUCAUGCAUGAAUUCAAAUUCCACUCUCACCAUUAAACAUCUAUGCACGUUUUUACAAAUUGCUUAAUCAAUAUGGGCUCUAAUUUCCUUAUUCGUAAAAUGGGUCUCAUAAUACUAUUUUCAUUGUGUUCUUGAGUGAUGCUGCCUGGAGUUAAAGGAGGCCAGGAGCACCAGAAGCUGGAGGAGGCCGGGGUGGAUUCUCGCCUGGAGGCUUCAGUGGGAGCACGAGCUCCCGACACUUCGGUUCCAUCUCUUGUUUAAAGGCACCCAGUUUCUCAUCAUUUGUUACAGCACCAUGGAAAACCCACACACAAGUGAAGCCCCGACCCACCUCCCAAGUGCCCAUCUGAGCACCCCUCGUGGACUCUGAGCAGGGUGCCACCAUGCCUGGCUAAUUUUUGUAUUCUCAGUGGAGACAGGGUUUCACUGUGUUGGUCAGGCUGCUCUCGAACUCCUGACCUCGUGAUCCACCCGCCUCAGGCUCCCAAAGUGCUGGAUUACAGGCAUGAGGCAUCGUGCCUGGCCCCCUUUUUUUUCUUAUGUAGCUGUGAAGCCUCUGGGCUGCUUCUGGGUUCUUCCUUCUUGAUCUAGCAUGAAUCCCAACCUCUUGGCCAUGUUCCUUUCCUCUCCAGGGUUGCCAUCACCAACUCCAAGUCUUGCAGCCCCUCUUCCCUUCAGUCUGGCUGCCACCUUCUUCAUUGCCCUGGAAAAAAAUAAUGAAGUUUCACCAUUUAAAGGGUUUCAGUGCAGCUUGCUAUGGGAACACUGGAGAGUAACACAAAUGGCCAAUUGUCCUAAUAGCCACCAUGGAUUGGAUGGAUGCUAACAACAGGCUCACAGUUCUCCUUCUGUUGCCUCCUUUUAUCCACAUGAGAAUCAAACAAGUAGGUGCUGCUGGUAUUACUGUAUUUUUCUCAUUUUAAAGAUCAGGAUGGGGAGGGUUGAGGAGGUUAAGGAAGUUGUUAGAAGUUACACUGAAGUUAAGAAAGGAAAAAGGACUUAGAAACUUAUUCUUCCAACUUUAGAACCACGGUCAGUGACCAAGACAUGGCAGGCCUUCCCGAUGAUGAAAUUGUCAUGACUUCAUCAUUCCUAUAAUCACCCAAAUGAGUUCUGAA
rnacentral:lncRNA from 1 species